rnacentral:lncRNA from 1 species
UGGCCACAGCACAGGAUGAACGGUAUGAAGUAUCAUAAAGCAGGGGCACAUAAACUGCUACUGAUGGAAGAGGAGAAUGUCCUAGCAGAUCAUAAGCAAGAUGCAUCUGAACCAAUUCAGCUAAGAGUAAGAUGAAAAUGGAGAGCCACUUUGGCCCUGAUGCCACCUGUGAGCAGGGGUUUUGCCCACAUGGGGCCAUUGGGCUGAAGUGAGGAGUUACAGAAGAAGAGCUGUGAGGGAGACAAGGAAAGCAGAGGAGGACACAGGGGGAGGAGAGGAGAUGGACAAGCAGGUGACAAAAGAAGGCAAAUGAUGGGAAAAAGUCAGAGGAGAGAGCAACAGGAAAAGGGGA